AGUGGCGAACGGGUGAGUAAUGCAUCGGAACGUACCGUGUAGUGGGGGAUAACGUAGCGAAAGUUACGCUAAUACCGCAUACGCCCUGAGGGGGAAAGUGGGGGACCGCAAGGCCUCACGCUAUAUGAGCGGCCGAUGUCGGAUUAGCUAGUUGGUAGGGUAAAGGCCUACCAAGGCGACGAUCCGUAGCGGGUCUGAGAGGAUGAUCCGCCACACUGGGACUGAGACACGGCCCAGACUCCUACGGGAGGCAGCAGUGGGGAAUUUUGGACAAUGGGCGCAAGCCUGAUCCAGCCAUGCCGCGUGAGUGAAGAAGGCCUUCGGGUUGUAAAGCUCUUUCAGACGGAAAGAAAUCUCUCGGGAUAACACCCUGGGAGGAUGACGGUACCGUAAGAAGAAGCACCGGCUAACUACGUGCCAGCAGCCGCGGUAAUACGUAGGGUGCGAGCGUUAAUCGGAAUUACUGGGCGUAAAGCGUGCGCAGGCGGUGAUGUAAGACAGAUGUGAAAUCCCCGGGCUCAACCUGGGAACUGCGUUUGUGACUGCAUCACUCGAGUACGGCAGAGGGAGGUGGAAUUCCGCGUGUAGCAGUGAAAUGCGUAGAUAUGCGGAGCACACGAUGGCGACGCAGCCUCCUGGCCAGUACUGACGCUCAUGCACGAAAGCGUGA
rnacentral:rRNA from 1 species